rnacentral:tRNA from 1 species
GGUGAUAUAGCUCAGUUGGUAGAGUGCUUGCCUUGUGGGCACAGGCCCUGGGUUCAGUGCCCAGCACCA